rnacentral:rRNA from 1 species
UACGGAGGAUCCAAGCGUUAUCCGGAUUUAUUGGGUUUAAAGGGUGCGUAGGCGGCCUAUUAAGUCAGGGGUGAAAGACGGUGGCUCAACCAUCGCAGUGCCUUUGAUACUGAUAGGCUUGAAUACACUAGAGGUAGGCGGAAUGUGACAAGUAGCGGUGAAAUGCAUAGAUAUGUCACGAGAACACCGAUUGCGAAGGCAGCUUACUAUGGUGUCAUUGACGCUGAGGCACGAAAGCGUGGGGGAUCAAACAGG